ACUCAGACGUGGCAGGGGAGAUACCAUUGUUGUAAAAGUGAUUUUCCCAGGGUAAAGCUCAUCUAUUGCACUUUGGAUGAGCUGACCCCUGUGAUUUCCCCAAAGGUGGGAAAAUCAACUGCCUAAGUGGGAGAUUGUGUUUGUGGUUUCCCU
rnacentral:snRNA from 1 species